CAGUUCCAAAGAGUAGCCUAUCAUGGAUAAAAAGAUGACAAAUAGAACAAUCAGAUUCUCCUUCUGAAAUUCAAAUUGGAAAAUAGAGAAGAGUCAAAGAAUUGAGAGUAGACACUCAAAAAAUUUAGAGGGCACUGAGAGGCAGAGUUAGGCACCUGAAGAAUCAGGACAAACCCAAGUCAUGAAGGAGUGUGAGCAAUGAGCAAGUGGAAGGGGGAGUAGAAAAAAGUGAAACAGCGUCAAGGAAACCAAUGGGCCACAGCGCUAUGUGACAGAGACUGCUUUGUAGCUCCUUUUCCACAAUGAGUUAUCAUCCUUGGAAGGCAGCUGCCCAGACUGGGUCAAUAUUUUCCAGUCUUCUUUGCAUCCACAGAAAUAGUGUGUGUUACCCCUGGGCUGGAAUCUUUAGGGUGUGGGAGUGACUCCUCUUUCUUUAUCCUUUCACACAGGCUAGACACCAAAGACCUCAAGCCCUAAGAGACCAAAAAGCACCAAGAAGGAAGGAGCCUGGUUUCCUGAGUCACCAUGGGAGGAAUGUUUCUUGGCAACGUGGCUAUGAUGCAGGAUUUUUCUUGGCUCCUUUGCCAGGCUUGCAGCAGGGAGCACCCCGUCUAUUCAGCUCGCCUGGGCCAAGUCUGGCUGGCACAGCAGCUCAGACUGCUGCUGAGCCCCAGCUUGCUUGUGUUAUAUCUUGUACCUGUGUUUCGCAGUUCUCAAGCUCUUGUCCCACAUCCAAGAAGAAUGAGGAUAUGCUGUCAAUUGAAGGGUGAGAAGGGCAGAGAAUAAUUUUAUCCAGUGACGGAACAGCUCUCAGCAGAGAAUGGACAUAAGGGUGGUCUCCCACCCCCGGUAGUUGAGUGGUUUCUCUCCCAGUGUGGCUGAAUGGGCUCACUCAGUGUGAGCUUUAUGGGCUCAUAAAGUGGCUUUUAUGGGCUCAGAAUAAGGGAGUGUCUGCUGAUUAGUUUGUGAGUAUUUGAAAAAGGCUAAAGCAGAAGCACCACUCAAAGGGGAACCAGCAUAGCAGACGGGAGACAUGGAAUG
rnacentral:lncRNA from 1 species